rnacentral:rRNA from 1 species
UGGGGAAUUUUGGACAAUGGGCGCAAGCCUGAUCCAGCAAUGCCGCGUGCAGGAUGAAGGCCUUCGGGUUGUAAACUGCUUUUGUACGGAACGAAACGGCUCUGGUUAAUACCUGGGGCUAAUGACGGUACCGUAAGAAUAAGCACCGGCUAACUACGUGCCAGCAGCCGCGGUAAUACGUAGGGUGCGAGCGUUAAUCGGAAUUACUGGGCGUAAAGCGUGCGCAGGCGGUUAUAUAAGACAGAUGUGAAAUCCCCGGGCUCAACCUGGGAACUGCAUUUGUGACUGCAUAGCUAGAGUACGGCAGAGGGGGAUGGAAUUCCGCGUGUAGCAGUGAAAUGCGUAGAUAUGCGGAGGAACACCGAUGGCGGAGGCAAUCCCCUGGGCCUGUACUGACGCUCAUGCACGAAAGCGUGGGGAGCAAACA